rnacentral:rRNA from 1 species
AUAACCUGACCUAAGGAAGGGGAUAACUCCGGGAAACUGGGGAUAAUACCCUAUAGGUUACGGGUGCUGGAAUGCCCUGUAACCGAAAGUUCCGACGCCUUAGGAUGGAUCUGCGGCCGAUUAGGUUGUUGUCGGGGUAAUGGCCCAACAAGCCAGUGAUCGGUACGGGUUGUGGGAGCAAGAGCCCGGAGUUGGAUUCUGAGACACGAAUCCAGGCCCUACGGGGCGCAGCAGGCGCGAAAACUUUACAAUGCGGGCAACCGUGAUAAGGGAACCUCGAGUGCCUGUAUAUGCAGGCUGUCCAGGUGUCUAAAACACACCUGAAGAAAGGGCCGGGCAAGACCGGUGCCAGCCGCCGCGGUAAUACCGGCGGCUCGAGUGGUGGCCACUUUUAUUGGGCUUAAAGCGUUCGUAGCUGGGUUGUUAAGUCUCUUGGGAAAUCCGGCAGCUUAACUGUCGGGCGUCUAAGGGAUACUGGUAAUCUUGGAACCGGGAGAGGUGAGGGGUACUUCGGGGGUAGGAGUGAAAUCCUGUAAUCCUCGAGGGACCACCUGUGGCGAAGGCGCCUCACCAGAACGGCUUCGACAGUGAGGGACGAAAGCUGGGGGAGCAAACCGGAUUAGAUACCCGGGUAGUCCCAGCCGUAAACGAUGUGCGUUAGGUGUAUCGACGACCACGAGUCGUCGAGGUGCCGAAGGGAAACCGUGAAACGUACCGCCUGGGAAGUACGGUCGCAAGGCUGAAACUUAAAGGAAUUGGCGGGGGAGCACCACAACAGGUGGAGCCUGCGG